CCUACGGGAGGCAGCAGUGGGGGAUAUUGCACAAUGGGGGAAACCCUGAUGCAGCGACGCCGCGUGGGUGAAGAAGUAUUUCGGUAUGUAAAGCCCUAUCAGCAGGGAAGAAAGAAGACGGUACCUGACUAAGAAGCCCCGGCUAACUACGUGCCAGCAGCCGCGGUAAUACGUAGGGGGCGAGCGUUAUCCGGAUUCACUGGGUGGAAAGGGAGCGUAGACGGCCGGUCAAGCCAGGAGUGAAAGCCCGGGGCCAAACCCGGGGACUGCUCUUGGAACUGUGCGGCUGGAGUGCGGGAGGGGCAGGCGGAAUUCAUGGUGUAGCGGUGAAAUGCGUAGAUAUCAGGAGGAACACCAGUGGCGAAGGCGGCUUACUGGACUGUAACUGACGUUGAGGCUCGAAAGCGUGGGGAGCAAACAGGAUUAGAUACCCCUGUAGUC
rnacentral:rRNA from 1 species